UACGUAGGCAGCGAGCGUUGUUCGGAUUUACUGGGCGUAAAGGGUGUGUAGGCGGUUGUUUAAGUUUGGUGUGAAAUCUCCCGGCUCAACUGGGAGGGUGCGCCGAAUACUGAAUGACUCGAGUGCGGGAGAGGAAAGUGGAAUUCCUGGUGUAGCGGUGAAAUGCGUAGAUAUCAGGAGGAACACCGGUGGUGUAGACGGCUUUCUGGACCGUAACUGACGCUGAGACACGAAAGCGUGGGUAGCAAACAGG
rnacentral:rRNA from 1 species